GAUAAAUAUCAAAAUAUAUUAACCAAUAUCGUAUAAUAUUACCGAAAUAUGUUUCAUGAAAGUAAAGUUGUCCAGCCCCUAGAAAAAACAGUGUUUUCAACUGCCAGACUAUAACCUAGUGACUAUUCAUUUUUAUUAUUGCAUAAGCCACAAAAAUGGCUGGAAAAAAUGCUGCAGCGAGAAAAAGGCUCCUGGCUCGAGCCAAUCGUGAAAAUUUACAAUCUUUACAGAGCAAUAAGUGCCAGAUAAGUGAAAAUAAUGAAGCUAAACAAGAUUUAGAAAAAUCAGACGAGAUGCGCCUAAAGAAGGAACUAAAAGUUGUGCUAAUGAAAACGGUUCCUGAUUCGGGAAACGCAGAUUUCAAAGCCCUUGAAAGGAAGGAGGAAGGAAAGCAAGCAGCUAUCGUACGUCAAGAGCAAUCUCAUUGCGGACGUAACAUCAAGUUGAAUGAUUCUGUCUGCUAUAAUACCGGUGAUGGAGUAGAGCAUCAAACUUACACUACGGAACAACUAAAAGUAAACUCAACGAAACAAAAGGCUAUGGAGGUAACUAUAUUAAAUGUUGCUGUGUUGGUUGAAAUUGCACACUCAAAUUUCUCAAAUAAAUUCUUUUUAGUUUAAAGGAAUAAAUUCCGUAGCAAAAAAUCUCACACCACAACGUUCGAGUUCUUCGAAUUCCGUCUCGAAGCUCAGUAUUCGCGAUAAAUACUGCAAAUUGAUGCCUGAACAAACUGACUCUAAUCCAGAAGCAUCUGCACAAAAAGAAAUGGUAUUAGAAGAUCAAUCGUCUGAUACAGAUUACUCAGAUGAACUGUCAUGCAACUCGGAAUCGGAAUCAUCUAACCUUUUCAUCUACAAUCCGAAAAGCAAGAAGCAAAAGAAGGAUAUAAUCUAAUGCACUUGUGGUCAGCAAAAGGAAAUCAAUGAGAUCAUAAAAGAAAACAAACGGUUGAAGGAUGCAAUUCACAAAGUUCGUGCAAAAUAUUCGGAUGCUACGAUGAGAUGUAGAAACUUAUCGGAUGCACUGAGUGCUAAGGUUGUUAGGCUACAACACAAGCCAGCCUUCACCGAGGUUCAGGGAUUUCCGAAUCAGGAACAAUGAAGAAAUUCUCUGAUGCUGGCCAUAGGAGUGAUUUUGUUUUUAUAAAAUUGCUUAUGCUCGAAUUGUGGCCUGAAGGACUGUAUGGUCGAUCAGUUACAGGGCGGCUUUCAAAUAAUCCGCUUGGAAGACGGGUUAAAUCUCAAGUAGAAGGGCCAUUUCUUCAACCAACUGUUGAAGGUCGUAUUGCUUUAGAGCCGAACAAAGUAGAAUACAUAGCUGAGCGUCUUUUGGAACAUCGCUUGCAUCUGGGGGAUUCUCCAGCGAUGGCAAAAAAGAAUUCAGAUGAAUGCUACCGAUUGAUGGCGAGAGUAAUUUCUUACUAUGGGAAACAAAACACCGCAGAGCAUCGAUGAAUUUCUAAUCAACAAAUAUUACCAUCAUAACAAAUUUAUAAAUUUAUUCUCACAUACGUUUUCAUUUACAUAUAUACUCCUUGCAUACACAUACAUACAUCACCUACACAGAGACAUACAAACAAGUAGGCACCACACUCAGAAAGACCUAAUACACAUAGACAAACAAUCAUGUUGACAAUAAAAUAGAAAUAAACAGUGAACACAAGUGAAAA